GAUGAACGCUGGCGGCGUGCCUAAUACAUGCAAGUCGAGCGAACAGAUGAGGAGCUUGCUCCUCUGACGUUAGCGGCGGACGGGUGAGUAACACGUGGAUAACCUACCUAUAAGACUGGGAUAACUUCGGGAAACCGGAGAUAAUACCGGAUAAUAUAUUGAACCGCAUGGUUCAAUAGUGAAAGACGGUUUUGCUGUCACUUAUAGCUGGAUCCGCGCCGCAUUAGCUAGUUGGUAAGGUAACGGCUUACCAAGGCAACGAUGCGUAGCCGACCUGAGAGGGUGAUCGGCCACACUGGAACUGAGACACGGUCCAGACUCCUACGGGAGGCAGCAGUAGGGAAUCUUCCGCAAUGGGCGAAAGCCUGACGGAGCAACGCCGCGUGAGUGAUGAAGGUCUUCGGAUCGUAAAACUCUGUUAUUAGGGAAGAACAAAUGUGUAAGUAACUAUGCACGUCUUGACGGUACCUAAUCAGAAAGCCACGGCUAACUACGUG
rnacentral:rRNA from 1 species